AUUAUUGAUACAGUUUCUGUACUAUAUUGGUACGCGAAGCUUCCAAAUCCGCGAGUCGCGGUUAUGUUUGGUCAAUUUCUUUUGGCCGGGGUCCACGGACC
rnacentral:sRNA from 1 species